rnacentral:rRNA from 1 species
GAUGAACGCUGGCGGCGUGCCUAAUACAUGCAAGUCGAGCGAACGGACGAGAAGCUUGCUUCUCUGAUGUUAUCGGCGGACGGGUGAGUAACACGUGGAUAACCUACCUAUAAGACUGGGAUAACUUCGGGAAACCGUAGCUAAUACCGGAUAAUAUUUUGAACCGCAUGGUUCAAAAGUGAAAGACGGUCUUGCUGUCACUUAUAGAUGGAUCCGCGCUGCAUUAGCUAGUUGGUAAGGUAACGGCUUACCAAGGCAACGAUGCAUAGCCGACCUGAGAGGGUGAUCGGCCACACUGGAACUGAGACACGGUCCAGACUCCUACGGGAGGCAGCAGUAGGGAAUCUUCCGCAAUGGGCGAAAGCCUGACGGAGCAACGCCGCGUGAGUGAUGAAGGUCUUCGGAUCGUAAAACUCUGUUAUUAGGGAAGAACAUAUGUGUAAGUAACUGUGCACAUCUUGACGGUACCUAAUCAGAAAGCCACGGCUAACUACGUG